GAACCUUCAAAAACCGCCAUUGGAGGAUCUUCUUGAUCGUCAUCAAUCACUCGCGAAAUUACAUAUCAGCUAAACAACACCAACACUCGAACCUUCCUCUUGCAGAUUCGGUAGGUUCAUUUCUACGUUUACGUGACGUCAUUUGUUGUUGAAGGUGGUUGAUUGUUGUUUUCAAUCGCCAUUAGAAGAAAAGAUUCGAUGUUGUGGACGAUUUUACCCUCAGUGAAAUUGUUUGUGCUUUUGGAACACUAUGUGAGGAUGAAAUAGGCCACUUGACCUGCAUGUGAUAAAAAGUUAUUGUCAACUUUUUUGUUGUUUUGUGUUUGGUUGUGGUCUAUGAUGUGUGUUUUCCAGUUGUAGAAAGUGUGAUAGAUGCCUAACCACAAGUUGUUUGGUAUUUGUCCUUUGAACACUUUGAGAAGGUACAAAACUACAAAUAUACCUAAUUAUAGUAGAAAUACAUGUAGAGUAGUUGUAUAUAAAUAUAAUAAAAGUCUCCCAACUUAAUUCCAAAAUUUUGGAAUAUUUUUUUUGCUAUAUGGUAAUCGUGAGAACUUGUUUAUCGGAAAACUCACGGGACCCGCCAAUAUCCUGCUAAUCAACUGAUCAGUUAAAUCUUAGCUUACAUUGGGCAAGUGGCCAGUGGCGGACCUAGAAAUUAUUUGCUGAGGGUGCAGAUGAGGUGUUCAACCAUAUUUUCAAGGGGUGCGAUCGGAUUUUUUGCCUAAAAUAUACACUAAUUUUUUUUUCAAGGGGUGCGGCCGCCCACCCUG
rnacentral:lncRNA from 1 species